rnacentral:rRNA from 1 species
GGCGAACGGGUGAGUAACAAGUGAGUAACCUGCCCUGGACUCUGGGAUAACCCCGAGAAAUCGGAGUUAAUACCGGAUAGGACCAGGCCCUGCAUGGGGUGUGGUGGAAUGUUUUCGGUGUGGGAUGGACUCGCGGCCUAUCAGCUUGUUGGUGAGGUAAUCGCUCACCAAGGCGUCGACGGGUAGCCGGCCUGAGAGCGUGACCGGCCACACUGGGACUGACACACGGCCCAGACUCUACGGCAGGCAGCAGUGGGGAAUAUUGCACAAUGGGCGCAAGCAUGAUGCAGCAACGCCGCGUGCGGGAUGACGCCCUUCGGGUUGUAAACCGCUUUUAGUAAGGAAGAAGGACAGCUUGCUCCUUGACGGUACUUGCAGAAAAAGGACCGGCUAACUACCUGCCAGCAGCCGCGGUAAUACGUAGGGUCCGAGCGUUCUCCGGAAUUAUUGGGCGUAAAGAGCUCGUAGGCGGUUUGUCGCGUCUGCCCUGAAAUCCUCAGGCUCAACCUGAGGUCUGCGGUGGGUACGGGCAGACUAGAGUGGUGUAGGGGAGACUGGAAUUCCUGGUGUAGCGGUGGAAUGCGCAGAUAUCAGGAGCAACACCGAUGGCGAAGGCAGGUCU